rnacentral:rRNA from 1 species
UUGGAGGGCAAGUCUGGUGCCAGCAGCCGCGGUAAUUCCAGCUCCAAUAGCGUAUAUUAAAGUUGUUGCAGUUAAAAAGCUCGUAGUUGAAUUUCGGGAUCAAUAUGUUGGUCGUGCCUUGGUACGUACUAAUUUAUUGGUUUCUUCCUUCUGACGAACCUUGAUGUCAUUAAUUUGGUGUUUUGGGGAAUCAGGACUGUUACUUUGAAAAAAUUAGAGUGUUUAAAGCAGGCUCACGCUUGAAUACAUUAGCAUGGAAUAAUGAAAUAGGACGUUUGAUUCUAUUUUGUUGGUUUCUAGGAUCGACGUAAUGAUUAAUAGGGAUAGUUGGGGGCAUUAGUAUUCAAUUGUCAGAGGUGAAAUUCUUGGAUUUAUUGAAGACUAACUACUGCGAAAGCAUUUGCCAAGGAUGUUUUCAUUAAUCAAGAACGAAAGUUAGGGGAUCGAAGACGAUCAGAUACCGUCGUAGUCUUAACCAUAAACUAUGCCGACUAGGGAUCGGAUGAUGUUAAUUUUUUAAUGACUCAUUCGGCGCCUUACGGGAAAC